UACGAAGGGGGCUAGCGUUGUUCGGAAUCACUGGGCGUAAAGCGUACGUAGGCGGAUCGUUAAGUCAGGGGUGAAAUCCCGAGGCUCAACCUCGGAACUGCCUUUGAUACUGGCAAUCUUGAGUCCGGGAGAGGUGAGUGGAACUCCUAGUGUAGAGGUGAAAUUCGUAGAUAUUAGGAAGAACACCAGUGGCGAAGGCGGCUCACUGGCCCGGAACUGACGCUCGGGCGCGAUAGCGUGGGGAUCAAACAGG
rnacentral:rRNA from 1 species